CAGCCGCCGCGGUAAUACCGGCGGCCCGAGUGGCGGUCACUUUUAUUGGGCUUAAAGCGUCCGUAGCCGGGUUGGGAAGUCCUCCGGGAAAUCUGGCCGCUUAACGGUCAGAAUGCCGGAGGAUACUCCCAGCCUAGGGAGCGGGAGAGGCCGAGGGUAUUCCCGGAGUAGGGGUGAAAUCCUAUAAUCCCGGGAGGACCACCUGUGGCGAAGGCGCUCGGCUGGAACGCGUCCGACGGUGAGGGACGAAGGCCAGGGGAGCAAACCGGAUUAGAUACCCGGGUAGUCCUGGCGGUAAACGAUGCGGACUUUGUGUCGGACAAGCUAUGAGCUUGUCCGGUGCCGGAGGGAAACCGUUAAGUCCGCCGCCUGGGGAGUACGGCCGCAAGGCUGAAACUUAAAGGAAUUGGCGGG
rnacentral:rRNA from 1 species